CUAACAUCAGCCAGGCUGGACAGAGGUGAAAGGCAGAGGCUACUUCAGAGACUCCCCUUUAUGGCUUUGUGGAAGGCCAUCCCAAAGAGGCUGUACUGAGGACCUUGUCUGACCACAGGCAGACCAUGCUGGGGAACCUGUUGAAAGUCCCAAAACUCAGACAGGCUCUAAUACAUUUUGUAGGUCUCCCAGGGCUUUCUCCAAGGCGCUGGUUGCCUCCUCCUCCUGCAUCUCAAAAGAUGUCCCACCAUAUGAGGAGGCCAACAGGUCACAAGUCAUUUCAGGCUUAGUACUAACAUCCCUUGAUAGCACUCGGUCAAGUGACAGCACUAGAUCCCCUCCUGGAGCGAUUAGUAGAGUCAUUCACCCUCCAGAACGGCAUCCUGCGGUGCUCCCAGCACUGGAAUGGUGUCAGGUGAGUGCCUGCCUCUUCCACCUUCCAGGCAAUCUCCUGGUAGGGGAUAUUUCCCUGCUGGUACGUGCGAAGUCAUGGACGAUAGUGUACACUGCCAGGAGGCAGUUCUUGGAACGUGAUCCAUGUUUGCUGAUGCUCAUCAAUACAAUUCAAGAAAGAACUUAUCUUCAGAGCUCAAUGCAGGUCUGAUACCACUGGCAAUGGUGUGUAUAUGUGAAAGACUUUAUAACUUGGAUAGGGGUCAGGCAGUAGAGGGUUCAACGCAUUAUGGGGAUGGCCCUGGAGAACUAUUGAUACAUGUAACCCAAUACACAUCUCUUGUUCCAUUCCACAUUGCACUAUAAAAGAUGUGGGGGUCAUGUACAUACUCAUACCCCUCCUGCAUGCUAGCUUUCCCACACUACACUGUCCUUCAGGGCUACAGAAAUGGACAAUAGCAAUAUUAUAGGACUACACCACACAUACAACUGUGCACAACAGGUCUAGGCAAAAUAUAGGUCACAGGCCAGAUCCAGCCCACCAAGCCACUGGAUCCAUCCCACAGGUGCAGUGGGGAGCCACAGGCAGGCUCCCUUGCUUGCCUCACUCACACCACUCAGAAAAGCAGCUGCUGGGCUGUUUCUCUUUCAAAACUGAGCCCGGAGGGGAGGGAGAAAAGGCUUCAGGCACUGUCUUUGACCCUAGCACAGUCCCAUUGGCCAGUUUCUAGCCAGAAACUGGCCAGUGGAAGCUGCCUGUUUGAACAACAGGCAGCCACGAAGUACCAUGCCCCCUCGCCUCCAUCUUGGAGUUAUUCACGCAUGCACAUGACCCUGAAGCUUGUGUGGGGGUGAGGCAGGCAGGGAGGCUGCUUCAGAAACGUGCUGGGUUUCUGACUCAGAGUCACCCAGAUAAAUCUUCUGGCCCCUCCAUCAAAAAUUGUCCACCCAUGAUCAAUGUCUAUACUUGUGUACAGUCACAAGUACAGACAUAACUUGAGUGUGUCACAGACUGAAAGCCAAGAUGUGUAGUGACCCUGAUAGGAAGCAGAGACAGACAAAAUUUCUCAAGUACACAGCUCAUCGGAGUGGUAGUUGAGGGGAUUUGAGUGAGGACAUUGUCUGCUUCUAUUUGUUUCCGCUGUGUUCAGACAAACAGGACUUUAUGUACAUCUUUAAAAUAAACAAGUUGAUAUUGAGAAUAGUCCUGGCCCACAACUGAGUUUAUCCUAAUGGAAAUCUUGCAUCAAGGGCCUGAAUUCAGGCCAACUGCUGCACGCAAAAUGAGCUUAGGUUUAAUCCUGACUGUCAACCAAAGGUUUGGGCACCAAAGUCUUUAUUCACAGGACCAGUCUUACUGACUCCA